GAAAUAUCGUAUUAUUUAGCAUUUUAUCGGGGGGCACGGCAGUGCCCCCGCCAAGUCGAGCGCGAAGCAAACACUGCCGUACCAUCCUUUACUGGAACCAUUUCGCCGCAUUUUCAGGCCCCUAUUUGAGAACCUCUGGAUAAGACCAGAACGCAGAAAUUUUGGUCAUCCAGUAAGCUAUAAUCACAUACUUAAAAUCUAAAAUUUCAAGUCUGUAGGUCAUUUAGUUCCGAAGUUAAGCGAAAGCAUUUUUUCGCAUUUAUGACACUCACUCACUCACUCACACACUCAUGAUCAUCAGAAUAGAACUAGUACUUCCCAUAAACUCAGAGAGCUGAAAUUUGGUACAGAGUUAGGGUUUAAUGGCCACAUAAAGGAAAAACCUAAAAAUAUUGCAAUAUCAGUCACGUUUUAAAGAUCUAAGAACUGUAUAAGUAAGUUUGUAAUCCCAUAUAAAUAUAUGAUAUUACAAAGUUACUGUUACAGUUCCUACAAAUAGUAGGUAAAGUAAAGGUACACUACGAUGUACGAUGUGAGUAUGAAUGAAGAUAUGUUUAGUUAUGAUAUGUGUAUACAUAGUAUGGGUAUGAGUACCCGAAAAGAAGGCCUGCCUACAAAAAGAGAUGAGAACCUAUCAAAAACAUUUCAUGUAAAAAGGUGCAAGUCUCGCAACGCUUUUACUACAAAAAAGUUUUGAGAUGUAAUGUGAAACCAAGUCGGUUAUUUUAAUCAGUGCCAGGGGAACCUAAAAUAGUAACAAGUUAUCCCACCAAAAACAUUCUGUAAAAAACUAGCCAAGUCUCGAUGGAGCUGCUUGUUUAUCUCUAAAAAGUAAUGAAAUCUAGACAAAGUCGUGCCAAGUCUAAGGUUCCUUACUGCGAUUUCUUUAUUAUUAUAGUUAUUGUUGUGUGACUUGGCCGUUGAAGGGUACACAAGGGUACAAAACCAGGUGUUCCAUGACACCAUUGCACCAAUCUGUCGCCAGAACCGCUACCCAUUGACGAUGGAAAAUUGCCACUUGGACAACGUUGAUUCAAUAACCAGUCAAUUGUAGGCUUGAUAAAGCUGCGUAUUUCAAUAAUACUUAUGUAUAGGCGAGCCUGAAACAA